AUUGAACGCUGGCGGCAUGCCUUACACAUGCAAGUCGAACGGCAGCGCGGGAGCAAUCCUGGCGGCGAGUGGCGAACGGGUGAGUAGUGCAUCGGAACGUGCCCAGUUGUGGGGGAUAGCCCGGCGAAAGCCGGAUUAAUACCGCAUGAGACCUGAGGGUGCAAGCGGGGGCUCGAAAGACCUCGCGCGACUGGAGCGGCCGAUGUCAGGUUAGGUAGUUGGUGGGGUAAGGGCCUACCAAGCCUGCGAUCUGUAGCUGGUCUGAGAGGACGACCAGCCACACUGGGACUGAGACACGGCCCAGACUCCUACGGGAGGCAGCAGUGGGGAAUUUUGGACAAUGGGCGCAAGCCUGAUCCAGCCAUGCCGCGUGCGGGAAGAAGGCCUUCGGGUUGUAAACCGCUUUUGUCGGGGAAGAAACGGCCUGGGCUAAUACCUUGGGCUAAUGACGGUACCCGAAGAAUAAGCACCGGCUAACUACGUGCCAGCCGCCGCCGUAA
rnacentral:rRNA from 1 species